CCUACGGGAGGCAGCAGUAAGGAAUAUUGGUCAAUGGGCGGAAGCCUGAACCAGCCAUGCCGCGUGCAGGAUGACUGCCCUAUGGGUUGUAAACUGCUUUUGUCCAGGAAUAAACCUAGAUACGUGUAUCUAGCUGAAUGUACUGGAAGAAUAAGGAUCGGCUAACUCCGUGCCAGCAGCCGCGGUAAU
rnacentral:rRNA from 1 species